UGUUCAUUUUGUAAACAUCCAUGAUUGUCUACGGUUUGUGAAAGAAGAUGUGUACAUGAAUUACGACCCCGUCCGUCCAAUUUUACGAUAUUCUGCGACUUCAACAAUUCACUAACGGGACCUGGUGUGUGUUCUCAUAGGUAACGUUAUCUAUAUCCCGUUUUUUAGCGAUUUAUCAAGGCUUCAUGGUACUGCAGAAGUGAUUUUCGCGCGGUUCAAAAUGGGGCCAGUGACACUCCAGUCAUAACAUUGUUGCCCAUCGAUGCCAAAGUUAUUGUGUGCGAUGUACCAGAGACGUGGAUGUAAUUUAUUAUACAGCAGUUUGAACUUGUGUAUAUUUGCGUGUAAUGUGUGAAAAUAUCUGUGUCAAAUUUU
rnacentral:sRNA from 1 species